rnacentral:rRNA from 1 species
AUCGUUCUACGGGAGGCAGCAGUGAGGAAUAUUGGUCAAUGGACGCAAGUCUGAACCAGCCACGUAGCGUGCAGGAUGACGGCCCUCCGGGUUGUAAACUGCUUUUAGUUGGGAAUAAAAGGGGGCUCGUGAGCCCCGUAUUGUAUGUACCAUCAGAAAAAGGACCGGCUAAUUCCGUGCCAGCAGCCGCGGUAAUACGGAAGGUCCGGGCGUUAUCCGGAUUUAUUGGGUUUAAAGGGAGCGUAGGCCGGCUUUUAAGUCAGCUGUGAAAGUCCGCGGCUCAACCGUGGAAUUGCAGUUGAACU